CACACCGUAAACGAUGAACACUAGGUGUUAGGAGGUUUCCGCCUCUUAGUGCCGAAGCUAACGCAUUAAGUGUUCCGCCUGGGGAGUACGACCGCAAGGUUGAAACUCAAAGGAAUUGAC
rnacentral:rRNA from 1 species